rnacentral:rRNA from 1 species
ACUCCUGCGGGAGGCAGCAGUGGGGAAUUUUGGACAAUGGGCGAAAGCCUGAUCCAGCAAUGCCGCGUGCAGGAUGAAGGCCUUCGGGUUGUAAACUGCUUUUGUACGGAACGAAAAAGCUCCCUCUAAUACAGGGGGCCCAUGACGGUACCGUAAGAAUAAGCACCGGCUAACUACGUGCCAGCAGCCGCGGUAAUACGUAGGGUGCGAGCGUUAAUCGGAAUUACUGGGCGUAAAGCGUGCGCAGGCGGUUAUGUAAGACAGAUGUGAAAUCCCCGGGCUCAACCUGGGAACUGCAUUUGUGACUGCAUGGCUAGAGUACGGUAGAGGGGGAUGGAAUUCCGCGUGUAGCAGUGAAAUGCGUAGAUAUGCGGAGGUACACCGAUGGCGAAGGCAAUCCCCUGGACCUGUACUGACGCUCAUGCACGAAAGCGUGGGGAGCAAACAGGAUUAGAAACCCCGGUAGUCCCA